rnacentral:lncRNA from 1 species
AGAAGUUUGGAUUUUAUUGUGAGGAACUUGAGAAGUCAUCAGAAGGUAUUACACAAGUGAGUGUUAUCACACAGUUUAGAUUUUACAAAGUUCACUUGGCUGCUGUGCAGAAAAUGGAUUGAGAGAUGACAAGAAUGGAAUUAGGAGAUGUUUAAGUCUACUGCAAGGAUCCAUGUAAGAGGUAAUUGACCAGAGCUGGAGUGGUGAGAUGGAGAGAAGCGCUGGAUUGAGUUUCCUUAGAAAUGAAAACAUGUUUAUGAGUUUCUCUGAUGGUUUCCUCAGUGUAAAUUCCUAGAAGUGGAAUUAUUGGGCCAUAACAUUCCUUUCCAAGACUGUAUUGGAGAUUCAAUAAGAUAUGGAAAAAAUACCUAAGACAGUGCCUGGUAGACAGCAGGCACCGGAGAUGGAAGACAGCCCGUCUGCAUUACAGUAGUCCCCCUUGUUGUGGGGGAUACGUUCCAAGACCCCCAGUGGACGCCUGAAACUACCACAGUUGACAGCAGGUUACCAAAACCGCAAAAAGUGAAACCUCAAAUAAGGGGGCACUACUGAAGUUUUGUUCUGCAAAAUGUGGGUUGGAAACCUGCAUAAUGAGUUUUCAUAAGAAAGGCAAGACUUGCUGAUGACCUCUGUGGACUUCAAUUUCUUCCUCUAUUUAUAUGCAAACUAAAUAGUAUGGUCUCUCCUAGUGGGGAAAACUCUGAAAAUUCCAUGCCUCUCUAAUCACAGCCACUAGAGCUCCCAUUUCUCAGAUUCUCUUGCAAAGUGGAUGUCAAGGCAGCUCUCUCCUCUGUAGGAUUGCUACAGAAGGAAGAGAAGCCCCUGGAAGCCUGGCAGAAGCUGCAUUUUCCUCCGUGGCCCCUCCUCCGGAGCUGCGCUGCGCUGCGUGUUGUUGCAGUUGUACUGUACUGUUCUACCGCAUGGAUUCAUAGUUAACAUUUUUCUUCCAGGCACAUUCAAAACAUUUGGCUUGCAUCCUCCUUGAGCUGUUUUAUAAGGGCAAUAACCGAGGCCAGGGUGUGCUCUUGUCAGCAGGCAAAGCACGCAGCGGAGGCUGCCAAAGAGUUUCCUGCUCAGGGGCCACCCAUCCUUGGCUGCAGGACACAAGGCUGGAGCUCAUGGCAACUUGCACAGAGCGAGCGCCGGGACUUUCUGUUCUCAGGGCUCAUGCUUUGGAUUCCAGCCUUCAGCCCUGCUGCAUUGAUCAGUGGAGGCUGUUGUGUUUGUGCUUGUUUGGGACGAGCUCAGAACACAUGUCACAGCAGUGGUUCAAGGCCUAGCUCUAAGGCUUGGAGCUGGGAGAAUGCUCUUUAAAGACUAGCAAGCCGCUCUUCCCGCCUGUUAAUGCAGGCACAGAGUUCCCACGGAUCAGCUGCAGGGGAGAAAGGCAUUCCCUUCAUCCCACUCUCUGUGAAUUAACUUCGGGAAGGACAGACAACACAGACGCCAAAUGGAGGGUUCCAACACUGCUACCCCACCCUCUCUGAAGUCCACCUUGGCAGAAGCGGAUCUCUUCUCAUGUGUUAUUUAUUGCCAAAGACCGUGACCGGGAGAAUCCGCAAUAGAUCCCUGAAGCUGUUUUUUCAGGAUUUCCUUUGAUUGGAAGCUCUUGGCUGUGCCUUCUGCAGCUGGCUCUGUCACAGAGCUGAGGGCUCAGAGUGUCCCCCAAGUGACAGCUGCCAUGCCAGCACAAAGGAGGGUCUGGCUGUGAAAGUGCCUUGAUGCUCUAAAGAACACACAAAUGGACAGGGUAUUGUUACUCCUUCACUCACCAGCAGGGAGGCAAUGCGAUGUCAUGAGCGGAAGGAACACGGGCUCAAGCCCCAGAGACGCAAGUUGAAAUGUCAGCUCUUCCACUGACCCACAGUGUGGGCUUGGUCUCAGUCUUCUCGUCUGUAAAAUGGCAAUGAAAAGAUUUACCCCCAAACUUUCAGCCAAGAAUCAAUAAGACACAGCAUGCAAUGUUCAGCUCCUUUCCUCUAAAUUCCAAACUUAGUCUGGAAAUUUUAAAGCCGUUUAGAUGACCCUAAAUACUUUCUUUAUCUUUUUCAUUUAUCCAUUAUUCAUUCUGUCAGCAUUCAAUAAAUAAGAAAGAAUAUUUCAG